UGGGGAAUAUUGCACAAUGGGCGCAAGCCUGAUGCAGCCAUGCCGCGUGUAUGAAGAAGGCCUUCGGGUUGUAAAGUACUUUCAGCGGGGAGGAAGGGAGUAAAGUUAAUACCUUUGCUCAUUGACGUUACCCGCAGAAGAAGCACCGGCUAACUCCGUGCCAGCAGCCGCGGUAAUACGGAGGGUGCAAGCGUUAAUCGGAAUUACUGGGCGUAAAGCGCACGCAGGCGGUUUGUUAAGUCAGAUGUGAAAUCCCCGGGCUCAACCUGGGAACUGCAUCUGAUACUGGCAAGCUUGAGUCUCGUAGAGGGGGGUAGAAAUCCAGGUGUAGCGGUGAAAUGCGUAGAGAUCUGGAGGAAUACCGGUGGCGAAGGCGGCCCCCUGGACGAAGACUGACGCUCAGGUGCGAAAGCGUGGGGAGCAAACAGG
rnacentral:rRNA from 1 species